rnacentral:rRNA from 1 species
CCUACGGUGGGCAGCAGUGGGGGAUAUUGCACAAUGGGGGAAACCCUGAUGCAGCGCCGCCGCGUGUGGGAAGACGGUCCUCUGGAUUGUAAACCACUGUCCCCAGGGACGAAGAUGACGGUACCUGGGGAGGAAGCUCCGGCUAACUACGUGCCAGCAGCCGCGGUAAUACGUAGGGAGCGAGCGUUGUCCGGAAUUACUGGGUGUAAAGGGAGCGUAGGCGGGACUGCAAGUUGGGUGUCAAAUCUACCGGCUCAACCGGUAGCCGCACUCAAAACUGCAGUUCUUGAGUGAAGUAGAGGCAGGCGGAAUUCCUAGUGUAGCGGUGAAAUGCGUAGAUAUUAGGAGGAACACCAGUGGCGAAGGCGGCCUGCUGGGCUUUUACUGACGCUGAGGCUCGAAAGUGUGGGGAGCAAACAGGAUUAGAUACCCUAGUAGUC